rnacentral:ribozyme from 1 species
UGAGAAUUCAAGGCCAUAGCAGAAGUGCUCAUGAUACAACCCUGUCAGAUUCCAAUGAAUCUGCAAUUUUUGCU